GACGAAAUUCUCGUAGCUUGGCGCGCUUAUGGUAUGGGAAAGGGAAAAGAGAUCCCAUUGGAAACAACAUCAGAAGAAUAUGGCGGUUCUGAAGAACAUGUCCGGUCAUAAGAUGUAAAAAGCAAACGUUUCAUCUGUUCGCGCAGCAAAGUGGACCAAAGGGGCACUCUUCACAGGCUGUGCAGAGUGAAGUAUUGAAGGAUACAAGAGAGGCUACAUCCGGCGAAGUAGAGGUAAAAGAAGGAUGGGCGCUAAAGCCGAGCAAAAAAGCAUAUCGCUUUAACCAAAACCAGAGGGAUUAUCUAAAUGCGAAGUUUACAA